AAAUAUCAGCUGGUAAUUCUGGGGUGCUGUCGCCCAGACUACCAGUUGGUAUGAGG
rnacentral:precursor_RNA from 1 species